rnacentral:sRNA from 1 species
UCAACCUUUAAGGGGAGUCCAGAGAGACUCACAAGGUGUCAGAUAAAAGAAUAGUGCAAUUUUCUAGAGGAGACUUUUUGAGUGUGCUCUCUUGUGUUGUACGAUUUUAACUGAGGCCUUGCACUAGCAAGGUCUUUUCUUUAU